rnacentral:rRNA from 1 species
UGUGUAGGCGGCUACGAAAGUCGGAUGUGAAAUCCCCGGGCUCAACCCGGGAAGUGCACCCGAUACUGCGUGGCUUGAGUACCGGAGAGGUUGGUGGAAUUCUCGGUGUAGAGGUGAAAUUCGUAGAUAUCGAGAGGAACACCGGUGGCGAAGGCGGCCAACUGGACGAGUACUGACGCUGAGACACGAAAGCGUGGGGAGCAAACAGGAUUAGAUACCCUGGUAGUCCACGCCGUAAACGAUGGGUGCUAGGUGUCACGGGCUUUGACUCCUGUGGUGCCGUAGCCAACGCAUUAAGCACCCCGCCUGGGAAGUACGGCCGCAAGGCUAAA